rnacentral:tRNA from 1 species
AGCAGCAUGGCGCAGUGGUAGCGUGCGGGGCCCAUAUAUAGCGUUAAGCCAGGCGACCCCGAGGUCACUUGAUCGAAACAAGUUGCUGCUA